rnacentral:rRNA from 1 species
UACGGAGGGGGCUAGCGUUAUUCGGAAUUACUGGGCGUAAAGCGCACGUAGGCGGCUUUGUAAGUUAGAGGUGAAAGCCUGGAGCCCAACUCCAGAAUUGCCUUUAAGACUGCAUCGCUUGAAUCCAGGAGAGGUGAGUGGAAUUCCGAGUGUAGAGGUGAAAUUCGUAGAUAUUCGGAAGAACACCAGUGGCGAAGGCGGCUCACUGGACUGGUAUUGACGCUGAGGUGCGAAAGCGUGGGGAGCAAACAGG